GGGAGAGGGGAUGACAUCUGGACCCAGAGGAUCACGAGGGCCAAAGGGUGAGCGUGGCGUUCCUGGUGUACCAGGAGACCUAGGGGAGAAAGGAGAGCCUGGUCUGGGCGUUGAAGGACCUCCUGGCCCCAUGGGACAGAGAGGAGAGAGAGGAUUUGAGGGCCCUCGUGGACCCUCUGGAUUCUCAGGCCCUGCUGGGACCC